rnacentral:misc_RNA from 1 species
CAACUGCGAUAACUAGUGCGAACUGCAGAUAUUUUGAGCACUAAAGUUUCGAAUGCACAUUGCGCCAUUGGAUUUACUAUCCAAUGGCACGUCUGGCUCAGGGUCGUAAAUUCAAAACCCCAUGAAAAUGGUGGUGAAACUCUUUGAGGAUUGUUGCGAAUUUGGUCCGCACUUGUUUCUUUGUGCUGCUCUUGGACCGAACAAAGCAACACUCCCACUGAGCAUUUACUGCCCGUCGCACGGUUCAUUUUUCUGAAUGUCCUAACGCUUUUACGGACUAUGGUAAUUGAGCCAUUGUGGUGGGAGUAGUCGAUUUUUCGACCUGAACUCAGACGUGAUUACCCGCUGAACUUAAGCA